AGCAUAUAGGUGGCAGGAAUUUAAACCAAAGGUAUUUCUGAAGUAAUUGCGAAUGAAUGAGAAUUUUUUCAAUCUGACAAGUGGGGCUGAAAGCCUUGGCAUGUAGUGUAAAACUGCAUCACCAAUGGGGGUUUGAAUGAAUGCUUCUUGGAACAGAGCAGCAAUAAGGGUGAUACUCCUGUUUGCCAUUGAUAAAUCCUUGUGUACUGCAUGCAUGUGCUGAAUCACACUUUUUGGGAAUGAAGUGCAAAGUGGGUGGUAAGUUUCAUUCAAAGAUGCAUAUAAGCUUGAGACUGAUAGUGCACAAGUACCUUGAGGGAAAAAUGAAAAGGACUUUGAAAAGAAAGUUAAAAGAGCCUUAACCUGCUGAGUGGAAAGCAAGCAGACACACUAAAUGUGUGAAAGAUUGCUGUUGUGGUGUACAUCUGCUGCAUCAGUUGGUGUGGUGCAAACACAAUGGUGCAUCUUCUUGCGUCGCCAUUGCUAAUUCAAUAAUGCGCAUUGAUUGGGAGUUAACACUAUUGCUUGCUGGCAAAGUGUGUUUACCAUUGGUGGUUUAUGAAUUGGUAAUUGUUUGUGUGGUUAUUGGGAUUGUGGCUUAGUUGGUAACACCCGUGGCCAACUUCAUGAAGCAUAUGAAGCAGUAUUGGCGUAAUGCUUCUGCUUGACCCGUCUUGAAACACGG
rnacentral:rRNA from 1 species